rnacentral:lncRNA from 1 species
AUGCUUGGACUGGAGACUCUAGGCGAUCCAUCAGGUGACUGGGAUAUAGUGGAAACCAUUGGCAAAGGAACUUAUGGAAAGGUCUACAGAGUGACCAACAAAAAAGAUGGGAGCCAGGCAGCAGUGAAAGUGCUGGACCCGAUUAAUCAUUCGAGCCAUUCAAACAGAGAUGUGGAUGAGGAGAUUGAGGCAGAAUACAACAUACUGAGGUCCCUGCCCAACCAUCCUAACGUGGUGAAGUUUUAUGGCAUGUUUUAUAAGUCGGACAAAUUAACUGGCGGACAGCUCUGGCUGGUACUGGAGCUGUGCAACGGCGGCUCUGUCACAGAGCUCAUCAAAAGCCUGCUGAUGCGUGGCCAGCGUCUGCAGGAGCCUGUUAUCGCAUACAUCUUAUGCAGUGCCCUCUUGGGGCUCCAGCAUUUGCACAACAACCGGAUUAUCCAUCGUGACGUCAAAGGCAACAACAUCCUCCUGACAACUGAGGGAGGAGUCAAACUGGUUGACUUUGGUGUUUCAGCGCAACUGACGAGCGCACGACUGCGGAGGAACACGUCAGUCGGGACACCGUUUUGGAUGGCUCCUGAGGUCAUAGCCUGUGAACAGCAGUACGACUACUCCUAUGAUGCCCGCUGCGAUGUGUGGUCUCUCGGCAUCACAGCCAUCGAGCUGGCAGACGGAGAUCCCCCUCUGGCUGAGAUGCAUCCAGUAAAAGCCCUUUUCAAGAUCCCACGAAAUCCCUCACCCACAUUACGACAUCCUGAAGAGUGGAGCAGGAGUUUCAGCCAUUUCAUCAGCCAGUGCCUGAUAAAGGAUUUUGAGGCACGUCCAUCUGUGACCCACCUUCUGGAGCACCCUUUCAUCAAGCAGGCCCAUGGCAAGGACAUAGCUCUCCGUCAGCAGUUAGCAGCUCUCAUCCAAGAGCAGCAACAAAUAGGCUGCAAAACCAAAUCCAAGCACGUCCGGAUCAAUACUCGUAAAACCCUCAUAAUAGAGAGCUGUCCUGAUGAUGAUCUGGUGAACCUGGAGUUCUUAGACGAGGAGACAAUCAUCAGCCAUCUCCACAAGAGGUAUGAUGAGCUGCAGGUGUACACUUACGUCGGUGACAUCCUCAUUGCUCUCAAUCCUUUCCAGAAUCUCAGCAUCUACUCUCCUCAGUUCUCUAAGCUGUACCAUGGCGUAAAGCGAGCUGACAACCCUCCACACAUCUUUGCUACUGCAGAUGCAGCUUACCAAGGCAUGGUGACAUUCUGCAAAGACCAGUGUAUCAUCAUUAGUGGAGAAAGCGGUGCUGGGAAAACAGAAAGUGCUCAUUUAAUUGUUCAACAUCUUACUUUCCUGGGAAAGGCAAACAAUCGGACACUUCGUGAGAAGAUUUUGCAGGUUAACCCUCUCGUCGAGGCCUUUGGGAACGCUUGCACGGCAAUCAAUGACAACUCCAGCCGCUUUGGCAAGUACCUAGAGAUGAAGUUCACGCCGACAGGAGCGGUUAUUGGGGCCAAGAUAUCUGAAUACCUGCUGGAGAAGUCGAGGGUCAUCAAACAGGCUCCAGGGGAGGAAAAUUUCCACAUAUUCUAUUACAUAUAUGCCGGCCUUUACCACCAAGACGAGCUGAAGACUUACAGCCUGCCAGAUGGGACACCUCCCAGGUACAUUGACAGUCAGCACUGCAAAGUGAUGCAAGACAUUGUGUCAAGGAAACAAUAUAAAGAGCAGUUUGAUGCCAUUCAGGAGUGUUUCCGAAAUAUCGGCUUUACAGAAGAGGAGGUCGACUCUGUUUACAAAAUUCUCUCAGCAAUUUUGAAUACUGGGAAUAUUGAAUUUGCCUCCAUCACAUCCCAGCAUCAGACCGAUAAGAGUGAAGUGCCUAACUCAGAGGCCUUAGAGAACGCUGCGUCUCUCCUCAGCAUUGGACCCGAGGAGCUCCAGGAAGCACUUACCUCUCAGUGUGUGGUCACGAGGGGCGAAACCAUCAUCCGCACCAACACCGUGGACAAAGCAGCCGAUGUCCGAGACGCCAUGUCCAAGGCCUUGUACGGACGGCUGUUCAGCUGGAUAGUGAAUCGCAUCAACUCACUCCUGCAGCCUGACAUGAAUGUCUGUGCCGUAGAGAGCGGCAUGAAUGUGGGAAUCCUGGACAUCUUUGGAUUUGAAAACUUCCAGAAGAACUCGUUUGAGCAAUUGUGCAUCAACAUCGCAAACGAGCAGAUUCAGUUUUAUUUCAACCAGCACAUAUUUGCUCUCGAACAGAUGGAAUACCAGAGCGAGGAAGUUGAUGCCAGCCUGGUGGAGUAUGAGGACAACAGGCCCAUUCUGGACAUGUUUCUGCAGAAGCCCAUGGGUCUGCUGUCCCUGCUGGAUGAAGAGAGCCGCUUCCCUCAGGCCACCGACCAGACCCUAGUGGAUAAGUUUGAGGACAAUUUGCGCUGCAAAUAUUUUUGGAUACCAAAACGAGUGGAGCUUUGUUUUGGAAUUCAGCACUAUGCCGGACAGGUAAUGUACAAUGUGAAUGGCUUUUUGGAGAAAAACAGAGACACUCUCCCUGCAGACAUCGUUGUGGUGUUGAGGACGUCAGAGAACAAACUUUUGCAGCAGCUGUUUUCCAGCCCCUUAACUAAAACAGGAAAUCUGGCGACGUCCAGAGCGAGGGUCACGGCCGCCUCCAGAUCUCUCCCACCACAGCUCGGUUCAGGACGCACCAAGUCUCCCAAAUACCUGUUGAAGGUGGACACCAUGGAGAUGAUCCGCCACCCAGGAGAAACCACCAACAUGAGGAGACAGACUGUGGCCUCCUAUUUCCGUUACUCCCUGAUGGACCUGCUGUCUAAGAUGGUCGUGGGCCAGCCACACUUUGUGCGCUGCAUCAAACCUAAUGAUGACAGGCAGGCACUGCUCUUCUGCAAGGAGCGAGUGAUGGUGCAGCUGCGUUACACUGGGAUCCUGGAGACGGUGAACAUCCGCCGCCAAGGCUACUCCCACCGCAUCCUGUUUGAAGACUUUGUCAACAGAUAUUACUAUCUUGCAUUUCGGGCUCACGAGAUGCCUGAAACCAGCAAAGAAAACGCUGUUGCCAUACUGGAGAGGGCCAAAUUAAAAGACUGGGUGCUGGGAAAGACCAAGGUUUUUCUGAAAUACUACCAUGUGGAACAACUGAACCUGCUGCUGCGGGAAGUGAUAGCUCGGGUGGUGGUGAUGCAAGCUUACACUAAAGGCUGGCUCGGGGCCCGGCGUUAUCGAAAAGAGAAGGAGAAGAGAAGCCGUGGGGCCACAAUCAUCCAGUCAGCCUGGAGGGGCUAUGUUGCUCGGCAGAACCUCAAGCAAAUCAAAAAAGAGCGGGAAGAGGCAGCUGUCCGCAUACAAUCAGCUUAUAGGGGCCAUCGGGUGCGUCGGGACUGUGGACCCCAGGAGCACAGAUGUCACCCUGAGGCUGGAGAAAAGACCACCAAAGAGGAGCAUUUAGGGUACAGCCCGGACAACAAAGAGGCAGACGGAGAUUACACACAUAAAGAAGAUGUUGGCCCUGACAGCCAAGACAGACAAGUGAAAGACAUCAAGAGAGACAAAGGCAGAGCAGAAGACAGUGUAACGCAGCCGUGCAGGGAGACGGCAAGGCUGCGAGACAUGCAGUGUAAACAAGGUCCAGUGAUGAAGCUGCAGCAGAGAACUCCUCGCCGGCGGGGCCAGCAGCCCAAGCUGCUCAACAGCCCCGAAGACAGCCUGUACUACAACCAGCUAAAUAGAACUCUGGAUUACCAGGGGAGCAAGAGGAAGCCGAGAAAACUUGGUCAAAUCAAAGUGCUGGAUGGAGAAGAUGAGUACUACAAAUUACUGUCAACUGUGGAGUCGAUCCCUGAGGAAGAGCACUCAACCACCGCCCCUACCCACCCUUUCUAG